rnacentral:rRNA from 2 species
CCACACGACUCUCGGCAACGGAUAUCUCGGCUCUCGCAUCGAUGAAGAACGUAGCAAAAUGCGAUACCUGGUGUGAAUUGCAGAAUCCCGCGAACCAUCGAGUUUUUGAACGCAAGUUGCGCCCGAGGCCUUCUGGCUGAGGGCACGCCUGCCUGGGCGUCACG